rnacentral:rRNA from 1 species
AUGAACAUUGCCCUCCUGACUCGGUGGCUUUGGCGGAUUGCCAACGGAGAUGGUGGCUUGUGGCUUCGCAUCAUUCAGCAGAAAUACCUCCGAGGCCAGCCUCUCGCCUUCUGCCAGCGGUCUGGGGGGUCCCAGUUCUGGCAAUCCGUCAUCCAGCUCCUUCCUGUCCUCCGGAUUGGGACUUCGAUUGAGGUCGGAUCAGGCACCGCGAUCUUGUUCUGGUUCGACAGAUGGACUGGCGACUUACCCCUUGCGGCUCGCUUUCCCAACCUAUUCUCCAUUGCGGUGGCCCCUCAGAUAUCGGUCGCGGCAGCCCUUAUUGACUUAGGGCAGCUCGUGUUCCGAAGGCCCUUUGGUCUGGCUGAAACAGCCGAUUGGCAGGAGCUGCUUGACUGCAUUGCAUUGCACGCGCCUGAUCUUACGACCGAAGAUGACAGCUCCAGAUGGCGUCUAGAGCCUUCUGGACAAUUCUCCACCAAGUCCCUGUACCAGGCCAUUGCUCCCUCGCCUGGCCAUGAGGCGCUCACAUCUGGGAGAUUCGCCUUCCCCUGA